UAAGAAUGGCUCCUAUGAUCGCA
rnacentral:piRNA from 1 species